rnacentral:rRNA from 1 species
AUGAAGGUCAAGGAGAAGACAACUCGAGGAUCAAACAGACAUCCAGAUAUAUUUGCAGACCCGAAUAUUAACUCAUCUACAAGUUCAGAACAAAAUGAGGGAUUUGCCAAUCCAACAGAACCAAACAUUAACUCAUCUACAAGUUCAAAACAAAAUAAGGGGCUUACUAAGCCAAAAGGUAUCAAGUUGAAGGAGAAGACUAUUCAAGGAGCAAGUAGACCUACUGGUGGCUUAGAGAAAGCAAAAUCAAAGAGGAAAAGGAAACUUAGGAAAGUAGAUAAUCCUGUAGCACUACAACCUGAUGGCACCUCAAUGGUAUAA